rnacentral:rRNA from 1 species
ACGAACGCUGGCGGCAUGCCUAACACAUGCAAGUCGAACGAGACCUUCGGGUCUAGUGGCGCACGGGUGCGUCACGCGUGGGAACCUGCCCUUAGGUUCGGAAUAACUCCCCGAAAGGGGUGCUAAUACCGGAUAAUGUCUUCGGACCAAAGAUUUAUCGCCUUUGGAUGGGCCCGCGUUGGAUUAGCUAGUUGGUAGGGUAAAAGCCUACCAAGGCGACGAUCCAUAGCUGGUCUGAGAGGAUGAUCAGCCACACUGGGACUGAGACACGGCCCAGACUACUACGGGAGGCAGCAGUGGGGAAUAUUGGACAAUGGGCGAAAGCCUGAUCCAGCAAUGCCGCGUGAGUGAUGAAGGCCUUAGGGUUGUAAAGCUCUUUUACCCGGGAUGAUAAUGACAGUACCGGGAGAAUAAGCUCCGGCUAACUCCGUG